rnacentral:lncRNA from 1 species
UUUUUGUUUACCCAUGAGCCCACGUAUGACGUUGCUGUGGCGGUUGACGCCUCGUGUGUGAAUCCACUUCGCAGGGAAUAUUUGUGUUGGCGACCUUUCACAGAAGUGGCAGUUAUUGGGCACAAGUCUUUACACUCAUGAAGCCAGUGUUAUGUCCAAUGGGCUGUGGAUAUGGGUUUGUGCCGUAACUGAGAUUACGCGAUGGCAACUACUGGGAAUCAUGGAUUGUGAUAGUGUGGCCAUUGAAGUUGAAACUUUGCUCCAAUAAAAGACUGUUGCAGC